CAGUUAAACUGCGGUAGAUCUUCCUCCAGUAUGACCCAGCUCAAAACAAGGAAAUGGAAAAUGUAGCUAGCUAGAUGCGGUUUCAAUCACUGUUACACUUUGUAAUUAGAAUUGGCUAGUUAUGGUAAAGAAACUUGAGUAGGCGUGACAUCUGUUAUUUAGAAACUGAUAUGAUCAAAAUAAUUUUAAUAAGGAACGUACACAGCGCAGCGGCAGGUGUCACAAACGGAAGAAGUCCAUGUAACGUUAGCUAAAGUAUCGCGUGACCGCAAAAACGAAAAAGUUUGCUGAUUUGCUUUGUUCUGUGGCUACUUCAUAAAUGUUGUGACUCAUUUUGGAUCAUCUCUUUAUUUACGGCAUCGAUUUCAUAAAAUGGAUAGAAUUUGCUCGCUGUAUUUUAGUUACGUUAGAUAGCUAUCGUACCAUCAUACUCAUGAGUGCUUCCCGCUGGCUAACUAGCUAGCUAGGUGCUAGCUAAAUGGCUAGCUAAUUUGAGAAGUUAAAAGUUAGAGAUGGAUGAUAUAAUUUCGCUCAGCUCCGGGAGCGGAGAGGACUCGGAUGUUGAAGUUGUUGGUGUUUACAGUGACAACGAGAACAAGGCCGAAGCAAUACCAUUUAUCAGAGGAGGAUGGGUCAAUCUGGCUGCCUACACACCGUUUGUGAUUGACAUUACUGGUCGGAGGUGGGCACUACCACCACCAAGGAGGCGCAGGAGGAGGGACCCAGGUGGGCCUGUAGAAGUGGUGGACUUGAGUGACAACAACCUCUCGGAUCACUCAGAUCCAGGGCCGGUGAGUCCACUACCUCAGGGAGAGAAAAAGACUGAGGGACUUUCAAAACACAAAGGACCACAUACCAAACGUCCAGAUUCUCUGUCCUGCUCCCCAACUGAACAAGAGUUGGAGAACAAAGCUGUUUUAAAAGCAGAAGAAAGUGACAUCCUUGAGUCCAAUCAGAGUUCUCUCAGGGAUUCAUCUUCAACUCGACCACCAGAUGUCAAGAACGCUGUGAAAUGCUCAGAUGUAGACAUUCCAAAAUGUCCUGUCAAAUCACCAAGUGUGCCUAAAUCUGAACCGCCAGCAGGGAAGGCGAAAGCCUCAGGGUCUUCCUCUUACCAGAUAACUUGGGAGUCACAACAGUGCUUGGGUAUAACUUCUCAACCACUGUGUGAAGGGAAAGAAGAGCCAGAAUGCCUCAAGGCCAAGACCCAAACCUCAACCAUUCCAAAUGAAGCUCUGACUAGCUGCACUGGAAAAGUAGAAAAGCAUGCAUUGGAAGAGCAAGAAAUAGAGUCUAUGUUUACAACGGACAAACCUCUUCUGACAGAGGAAAGGGAAGAACCAGGGUCUCCACAAUCAUUACUCUAUGCUACUCUCUCCCUCUCCCCCCAAAGCCUAGACAGCCCCUAUUACGUCCCUGAUGAUAUUGACCCAGACCCUUUCAGGUUCUCAGAGGAUUGGGGUGUACAUGAAACUCGGCACAACAACACCUGUUAUUCCCCUACACACAUCCCCUUUGAAAGCUCUCUCUCUCCACCUCUACCUGAUGAUCAGACAGUGUGUCUCAACCAGAGUGACCCAGACAACUACCCCACCAGUACACACAGUCUUAAACAGGAUCCAGUCUACCCCUACUGCUCUCCCACCAAUGGCACAGGAUCAGUGCUGUUGGAGGAAAUAAAUCAACUUCAGGCCUUAAACUGCACCAUCUUCAGUCCCUGCUCUCCUUCCAUAGAACCAGACCAACAGGCUCCCCAGAAUUCCCAGCUAACCACCGGCUCCAACUCCCCUGGCUCCUGCAUGGGAGGAACUCAUAGCAAUAAUGAGAGCCAUCCCAACCGGACCCCCAGCCCUACGUCCACAGUCAUCCUAGCUGGGGAGUCCCCAGACUGGCCUGUGGAUGAGACUGAGGCAGACCUGGUUAUGGAUAGCCCCCUGUACAUGUGUAGUAGUAUCCCUAGUGACCCUCCCAUGUCGCUGCGGUCUGAGGACAUGGAUGUGGAGGCAGGGCCCAGAUCUCCUGAGGCCAGCCAGCCUGGUUUGGGGGCUGAGGGCUUGAUGACUACUGCAUGGAGGGAUGGCAAUGAAGGAGAGGAGAUGGGUGGAGAGAGGGUUGGUGGUGAGAAUGACAUGGAGGUCAGCAGAGAGGACAGGCGCUAUGUGUGUCCAAUCCAGCUCAGGAAACUGAGGCAGCUGAUGGCUGGACCAGUUCAGCUCCUGGUAAGUAGGAGAGACAUUUCCCCCACAUUUUCCUGUGGUUUCUCUCACUCUUCUGUUGUUUCUCUCUCUCUCCCUCUCCAGGAGGAUGAAGAAGAGGAGGACGAUGGUUUUGGUGACCCAGAGCCUCUGUGCAGACAGAGCUUGAGCCUGGUGUACAGCACCAUGGAGGAGAACUACCCAGAGGGCACCCUGCAGCUGCUUUCUGACCUGCUGCAGCCCCGCUUCUUCCCCCCCAUCGACAUCACCACCCACCUCCUCAGAGGCAUCCUGCUGGACCCCCAGUGUCCCGACUUUCUCUGUCUGGAGGCCUACACUCUCCUCAUGAGGACCCAGAGGCACAAUCACACUGAUCAGACCACUAUUCCAUGGGACUGGGAGCUGUUGACGUCAGUCAUGGCUGCUGAACAGAGCCGUGGCAGGAGGCUCUGCUGUGAGGUGGUGCGUAUGCUGCUGCAGUACGUCGUCCAGACCAUGGAGGAUGACUUCCGUGUCAAACUUUCCUUCCGUGAUCUCCACCAUUCCAUCGCCAAGGCAACCCUGUCAUGUGAUGUACGGUUCACCCAGAGAUGUUAUCAAUUGGCUCUUUGCUGCUAUUGUGAAAUCAACCGGGGACAAAGACAACAUGUCUGCUGACAUUGAGUUGAAAACACAGAAGGAAAAAGAUGAACAUCUAAAGUGAGUUAAAAAUGACAACAUUCCACACCCCUUGACUUAUUGUUUUGAGAUUGGAAAUAUAGCACCCCACCUUUCAUAUCAGGUCAGUUUGAAGGAUUCAGAAUAGAAACAGAGUACACACAGCCAAUGCGUGUGUGUGUCAUGUGCCUUGUGUGUGUCAGAAUGGUGUUCCUCCUCCAGAAGAUGCUGUCCUUUGCCUUGGAGGUCGACCGCUCCCCGGCUCUCAACUCCAGCAAACUCUCUGGGGAACUCUUCCACACGCUCAUCAGCACUGUCUGUCUGAGACAACACAGGAUGCUGAUGCUGGAGACCCUGGAGAGCAGACUACUGAGGUGUAAGCUGAUAGAGCACCUGCUGCACCAUGCAAGUCCACAGAAGACCCCUCUGCCCAUGUCUCUGAGUCUGCUGCUACACUUCCUACACAACGCCACCCUCCCACCUGACCCUACGGAUGGAGCUGAGAGCUGGAGGAAGUGGGAGGAGUUGGUCCAACUACUAUGGAUGUUGUUGCUGAGCUAUGAGGAAGUGAUGAAAGGUCACCUGCGCUCUGCGGUCACCGAGCGAGGGGGCUACGGUCGCGCUCCAAUCCAGACAGUGCAUGAUUCUUUGUCACGGUUGGCGGUCCAGGAGGCUAUAGAGGCCAUCCUGUCCAGAGCCCAGGCUGACCUGGGCCAAGACCUGCCUCCACACGUCCACGAGUCCCUCACCUACCUGCAGGAUCAUUUGCUGGCCUCCUCUCAUUGACGAUAAGCUCAGCGCUUUGGUUCAAGCGGCUGUUGAAUGAUUUCUAUUUAUUUUUGUAAUGAUUCAUUCAGUUUUCUAAUCUUUCCCCCAAUGAAUUGUUUUAAAUAAAUAUUUAUUAUUUUUUUAA